rnacentral:rRNA from 1 species
UACGUAGGGGGCAAGCGUUGUCCGGAAUCAUUGGGCGUAAAGAGCGUGUAGGCGGCUCGAUAAGUCUGCUGUGAAAGUCCAGGGCUCAACCCUGGAAGGCCGGUGGAAACUGUCGGGCUAGAGUCCGGAAGAGGCGAGUGGAAUUCCCGGUGUAGCGGUGAAAUGCGCAGAUAUCGGGAGGAACACCAAUGGCGAAGGCAGCUCGCUGGGACGGUACUGACGCUGAGACGCGAAAGCGUGGGGAGCGAACAGG